AGAAAAUCUAAUUAUCUGGAUUAAACAUUGUUUCAGCGUUCUUACAUCUCAUGAAUAUGACAUUGUUAAAUUUAUUAUAUUCUGAAAAAGUCUCUCUAAAUUAUCUUAAGUUUGUGAAAUAUUAAUGGAAGAUAAACAAAGUUAAAGAAUUUGCAUUGCACUAUAGGCUUUUCAAACUUUCACAAGUUGUAAGGGGUGAAAUAUUUUCAAAGAGAAUGGCAGAUUUUAACCGGCUGGUACAACUGAUGAGCCAGAAGAGCAAGUUUUAUCAUUCUAAGCGCCGUAAGUAAAAGCCUGCUUUUGAACUAAAAACGUGGACAUGGAAUGCCAAUUUGAAGAAAUGUAUGGAUGAAAUCUAGAAAUGAAUAAUGUAAUAUUACAACAAUCGGUUGAUUCAAUAAAAA